GAGGCGUCCCCAGGGUGCUUGAGGCUCUCCCCAGGGUGCUUGAGGCUCUCCCCAAGGGCCUUGAGGUGUCCCCAGGGUGCUUGAGGCUCUCCCCAGGGUGCUUGAGGCUCUCCCCAAGGGCCUUGAGGCUCUCCCCAGGGUGCUUGAGGCUCUCCCCAAGGGCCUUGAGGUGUCCCCAGGGUGCUUGAGGCUCUCCCCAGGGUGCUUGAGGCUCUCCCCAAGGGCCUUGAGGUGUCCCCAGGGUGCUUGAGUUGUCCCCAAGGUCCUUGAGGCUCUCCCCAGGGUGCUUGAGGUGUCCCCAGGGUGCUUGAGGCUCUCCCCAAGGGUCUUGAGGCUCUCCCCAGGGUGCUUGAGGCUCUCCCCAAGGGGCUCAAAGUGUCCCCCCAGGGCUCGAGGUCUCUCCUGCUCCCCCCCCCCAGAGCCAGGAGUUUGUUGCUCUCUUUCUCCUCCUUCCCUUUCUUUACAGCAGAGCUCAGUGCCAGGGCCCUGAGUGCCAGGUGCCAGGCAGGGCACUGCCACUGUGCCCCCCUGGCACCAGGAGACCCUCUGGAGUGGGACACCCCCAAACCUCCUCCCCCCCCAAUAAAAACCAAUUCCUGAC